rnacentral:tRNA from 1 species
GUGUGUGUAAUUUAAAUAAAAUAUCAAGUUGUGACCUUGAAAAUAGAGCCCCUCUCAUAC